CAGGGUUUAAAUGCAGAGUGACGUACUGGGAAACCGGUAUUUCUUCGGACACUUUGCAAGGUGCUGCAUGGUUGUCGUCAGCUCGUGCCGUGAGGUGUUGGGUUAAGUCCCGCAACGAGCGCAACCCCUACCAUUAGUUGCCAGCGGUUCGGCCGGGGACUCUAAUGGAACUGCCAGCGCAAGCUGAGAGGAAGGUGGGGAUGACGUCAAAUCAUCACGGCCCUUACAUCCUGGGCUACACACGUGCUACAAUGGUACAGACAGAGGGCAGCGACUGCGCGAGUAGGAGCGAAUCUUCAAACUGUAUCUCAGUUCGGAUCGCAGUCUGCAACUCGACUGCGUGAAGCUGGAAUCGCUAGUAAUCGCGUAUCAGCCAUGACGCGGUGAAUACGUUCCCGGGUCUGUACACACCGAAUCUAGAGCAUCGGAGCACCC
rnacentral:rRNA from 1 species